rnacentral:lncRNA from 1 species
CUUUUGGAAACUAAGGAAUAAUAUCAUUUUUGUUAUAUUUUAAUGCAAUUGUAAAAAGGGGUUAUUGAUGAUUUGUGAUUUGCAGGUGUAGUGUUCCUUCCACUCGGUAAAGUCCAGGCUCACCAAUUGAAGAGAGCAUAGUUUGCUUGUUUAUCAAGCAUGAAAUGACAUUUUUCAAUCCCAUUUUGAGACUCUAUUUUUCUUAUGAAUGAUCCGCAUUUCCAAACAUAUUAUAUUGGGAGUGGAUAUUCAUGUUUAUCUUUUGUUUCUUGGCAUCAACAAAUUGCUUGAAUUAUAUUGGCUUAAUCAUCAAAUUCCCACAUUUUAUCCAAGAAGAUCCUUCAGAAUCCUGGAAUCUAAAAGCCACUAAAAGGAUUCAUAGGUUAGG